GUCUUGUCAGUGAUGCUAAUCAUAAAUGUCCGAACAUAUGACUUAUUGUGAUUCAUUUGUCUGUACUGAGACAAGAC
ensembl:snoRNA small nucleolar RNA SNORD72